rnacentral:rRNA from 1 species
CAGUCGCCGCGGUAAUACGUAGGUGGCAAGCGUUGUCCGGAAUUAUUGGGCGUAAAGGGCUCGCAGGCGGUUUCUUAAGUCUGAUGUGAAAGCCCCCCGCUCAACCGGGGAGGGUCAUUGGAAACUGGGAAACUUGAGUGCAGAAGAGGAGAGUGGAAUUCCACGUGUAGCGGUGAAAUGCGUAGAGAUGUGGAGGAACACCAGUGGCGAAGGCGACUCUCUGGUCUGUAACUGACGCUGAGGAGCGAAAGCGUGGGGAGCGAACAGGAUUAGAUACCCCUGUAGUCCCUGUCUCUUAUAC